rnacentral:ncRNA from 1 species
UGCGCUCGUCGCCGUUUGCCGACCCGCAGUAGUAGGGCCAUUUGGCCCCCAAGGGCACGUGUCGUUGGCUAAGCCGUCGUGGCGGAAGGGUCACGGUGGCCGCCUUGAAUUACAAUUCCGAUCGAGCGGCGAGCUGAAUCCUUUGCAGACGACUUAAAUACGCGACGGGGUAUUGUAAGGGGUAGAGUGGCCUUGCUGCCACGAUCCUCUGAGAUUCAGCCUUUGUCGCUCCGAUUCGU